rnacentral:lncRNA from 1 species
UUGCGCGCUGCGAGCUCUCCUUUAUUUAGAUAAGGUGUCCGCGGCCGCUGCUCUUGGCCGCCAGCCAGCUUUCUGUCUCCCACUUGGGGCUUUAGCGCCACACAGGAGACGCGACUCUCUGAUGCUGCCGGCCCGAGUGUCAGCCUCACCCGGAGGGUCCCCGCGGCUUUGUGUUCCCAGAAAGAUGAUUUGUUUGACAACGGGCUUUCCUUCCAGACUGUUCUUCCAGCCUGGCACAACGCGUGGGUCCUCAGACACAGACGGGGCCGUAGAGAGGCGGAGCCGGCACCUUUGGCCACAGGGUCGGGCGGCUGCUUGAUGGUGAAAGGCCACGUAAAGGAGACCCAGACACGGUCGAAGGCCAGAAGGAUCUUUGGUUUACAUGGACUAACUGAAGCGUUUAUGCUCCUCAGGCCUGAAAAAGUUAAGUGCUGGGGAGGCGGGGGGGCGCGAAGCAGGAUGAGAAGCCUGGACUUAUUCUAUGGCACACAAAAGAUUUUUAAUAAGCUCGGAGAAAGGGCUGCCACCCCCACCCCUCACGUCUUUCUCUCCCUGUCUUAUUCCAAAGCUCCUGUGUUAGCCAGAGAGACAGCUCGGAAAAACUGCCCCGGGAGGUGGGCAGCAGGCUGUGGGAGAGCUAUUCUGCUAGGCUGGCCCCCCAGGCAGGCAGGCAACUUCCACGAGGUCAAGAAAGGCUCCCCUGGUCGACAGAGAAGGAGCAAGGAGAACCCUGCCGAGUUCAACAGACCCCAGGAGUUUGGUUUUCCCUUUAAACCUUUUGGAGGAAAGAUGGAGCAGAAACUCAAGAUGAGGAUUUUUUUUUUUUUUUAA